rnacentral:tRNA from 1 species
CAAAUUAUAGCUUAAUUAAAGUAUUUUAUUUACGUUAAAAAGUUAAUUGUGAACAUCAGUUUAAUUUGA